rnacentral:rRNA from 1 species
GUGUCAGCUGCCGCGGUAAUACGUAGGUGGCAAGCGUUGUCCGGAUUUAUUGGGCGUAAAGCGAGCGCAGGCGGUUUUUUAAGUCUGAUGUGAAAGCCCCCGGCUCAACCGGGGAGGGUCAUUGGAAACUGGAAGACUUGAGUGCAGAAGAGGAGAGUGGAAUUCCAUGUGUAGCGGUGAAAUGCGUAGAUAUAUGGAGGAACACCAGUGGCGAAGGCGGCUCUCUGGUCUGUAACUGACGCUGAGGCUCGAAAGCGUGGGGAGCGAACAGGAUUAAAUACCCUGGUAGUCCACGCCGUAAACGAUGAGUGCUAAGUGUUGGAGGGUUUCCGCUCGUCAGUGCUGCAGCAAACGCAUUAAGCACUCCGCCUGGGGAGUACGACCGCAAGGUUGAAACUUAAAUGAAUUGACGG